GUCCUAGGUACCUCAUAUAAGUGGAAUUAUAUAAUAUUUGUCCUUUCGUGACUGGCUUAUUUCAUUUAGUGUAAUGUCUUCAAGGCUUAUCCAUGUUGUAAAAGGUGUCAGAAUUUCCUUCCAUUGCAGUAUACACCACACUUUGUUUAGUUAUUCAUCCGUGAUGGACACCUGAGUUGCUUCUGUCUUUUGGCAGUUCACACCCUCUUCUUAACCGUCUUGACCUGCAAGUGACACCUGUCUCUUCUGAUCACAUUCCACAGGAGGACGUAUGACACAGCCCCACCUACAUGCAAGGGGAGCCAGGAAGUGUAAUCCCUGGCUGGGCUGCCAUGUCUCAGAAACCAUUAAGCCUAUGGAAGGUCUCUGGAUUUGAUGGCAAAUAGCAGCAGAAAUGUGGAAAAGAUCAAAGUGAUGUCAAGGUUGAUCUCUGAGUUUGGCAGGGCUGAACUCAAACAUCAUUCGCCAUGGACCCAGUGUCUUUAGUAGCUGAGUAGGGUCAUUCCCCUGUGAUAUGUGCACUCAAUUGCUAGCCAGUUUUGAAGAUGUUGAGUAUCUGUUUUCCCCUUCCCCACACUGGCCCUCACUGAGAUCCAUGUCUAAUAUUAUGAAAGUCAUACAUUAUCAUUAUAAACUAAUCAUAAAUGUCA